CUAAGACCGAAUCACAGCCAUGCUGAUGUUCAGCACUCCCCCGUGUGAUAUUACUUAACUGACAUACGUUCCUCACAUUAUCUAGCUACAUUAGGGAGGACUAUAAAUAAAAAGUCAAAGAUGGUCCAAAUCUUUGAGUCAACUAACAAAACCAUGAAUGAAGAUGGAAUGGAUGACACAUAUCCUGGCAUGGAUCAUAUAUCAAACGCAGAAUUGAAAGCUGCUAAUAUCAGUGCAGACAUGCUUCCCAGUCUCAAUAAGGAGGAUUUACGUGAUCUCUUUCCCGGACCAGAGCACUUCUUCAGAAGGAGAACCAUUUGGCGACUUAAUCAUGGUGAAAAUUAGGGUUAAGAAUCAGACCUGUGUAGACCAGUCACCUCCUCUGGGACCUAUGAUUUCAGCCCCACUCCCACCCCCUUUCCCUCCUCCUCCUCCACCCCCUUCCACUCUCUACUGCCCCCCCAUCCCCCCACCCCUCUCCAAACCCAAGAGACCAACAUGGUGCCACCAGAACUGUACAGCUUGUCAGCCCACAGUAUGUCAUAUACACAGACACAGAGUUGGAGCAAUCAAGAAUAACCUUUUUUGAAAAACAGCGUGCUGGACAAGGAGACUAUAUCCUUUCCAAAGAUCUUCGCUGUUGAUUAAUCAGGAAUACAGUAACAAGCAUGAUUUCCAUUGAGAGAGCGGCAGGGGAUGACUUCCAGUAUCCAUGCAGCCGUGAACUCAUUGUAAUGGUGAAGCGUCUCAUAGACUACUACCCAAUGCUGCGGGACAGAUCUGCAACCAGUGGAGCUGAGUGGGUCACUUCUCAGUAUUGGGUAGUAGUCACUUCUCAGGUAUUCAACACAUGUUUCCAAACACAGCACUGUUGGAUACCUGGCAACCAAAGUGCAAACAUCUGACACUCAAAAUAGCAGGGAUGUGCUUCAUCCAGAUCAAUCAGGGAAACAUGUGUCUGCUUGUAUCGUUUCAUUUCUGUGGAAUAUGUUUAUGAUGUACAGGAUCAGGGCAGCAAAUACAUACUCCUCUGGAUCCAGGGCAUACUUCUGCCUGCCCAUUACCAGCUGGCAGUCAAUCACCAGGAGGGAAAAGGUGAUGGAGGAAAGAAAGGGUUUAGGGUGCAAUAGAUGGAGGUAUUCAUUCUGGCUACAAGGCUGCAUAAACAGAAAGAACCUAAUAAAAGGAGAUAUAACAUUGAGUGAGUUCUAUAUCAGUGAGAAGGGCAGGGCUCCCAGAGAUCCAUAGACUAUCUGCAGCACAUUGGAGUAGUAGAAACAGCAGAAGAAGCUGAACAUGAGAAGGUCCACUGCCCCAGCACCAGCAGGAUGCCAUUACAACGCGUGAAGUCCACGCUUUGUAAUGUCUGCAGACCAAAGAGAGGAGUGAGUAACUUUUAUUUCUGAAUUCCAAAGCGACCCUGGGCAAUAUGGUAUUUGUUGUCCAAUAAGCUAGGUCACCGGGGGGUCAGCCUGACCACAAACUGAUGUGGUAUGGUCGAUUUGGAAUUAAGCAUAAUAUCAUGUUUUUAGUGAUUUGAAAAAAACAGUCUGACCUGGGCUGAGAAGAUGAUGAUGGUGAAGGAGAUGACCACUGUUGCUCCCAUGGCGAUGACUACAGCAGUGGUGUCGGGGAAUGAGGCCACAGUGCUGACCAUGUAGGAAAGGCUGAGAGCGACCACUGACUAGAGGCAGUAUGCACACCAUAACACUUAAAAUACCACUCACUCAAUCCCAAAUCUCACUUUAUCCUAUCAUUGUGUUCAAGUAGUGAUAGAAUCAAAGCAAGAUCAAAGACGGUUGUUCUCAUUAGUCAUGCAACUAAGUUCUAGGAGAAUGUAUUUGGCAUUAGCCAAUAGGGAACUGUGAAUACAGUAAGGUACACUUAUAAGCAUCACCGGUAACUUCACUUUUUAAAUAAUGUGUAUGAACACAUCUAAAAAAAAACUAUUGUAUAGUUUAUAUCUAUAAGUGAACAGAUAAACCUAGAGCUCAAUUAAGUCUAACCCACACUUCAGUAUUACUUAGUGACUUUGCAUGGGCCAGUUUGUCAGUCGCUGGUCUAGCUAGUUGUGAUGGGGUUGUGUUUAUGUGUUUGUGCGUGCGUGUGACCCACCAGGUUCCAGGGAUGGCUACUGCUAAAUGAGCUGCAGCAGAUGAGGCAGAUGGCCACUGAAGUAAACAGGAUGGAGGAGCUGAGGUUUUUGUCCUGCUGAAAGGUGAAUUCAUCUCCCAGUGUCUGGUGAAAAGGAGACUGAACCAGGCUUUUCUCAAGGAUUUUGCCUGUGUUUAGAUGCAUUUCGUUUAUUUCCCUAGUCCUUAACGAUUGCAAGAAUACCCAUAUAACAUGAUGCAGCCACCAAAAAGUGAAUUAUUUUGCUAUUUUUUUUGUUGAAAACAGGAUGCAUGUUUUGGAGUAUUUUUAUUCUGUACAGGCUUCCUUUUCACUCACUGGAGUAACUACAAUAUUGAUGAUCCAUCCUCUGUUAUCUCCUAUUACAGCCAUUAAACUCUAACUGUUUUAAAGUCACCAUAGGCCUCAUGGUUAAAUCCCUGAGCGGUUUCCUUCCUCUCCGGCAACUGAGUUAGGAAGGACACCUGUAUCUUUAGUGACUGGGUGUAUUGAUGCUUUUUUUUUUUUUUUUAACUCAUCUACCAAUAGGUCUUUGAGGUUGAAUCUGUGUUUGGAACAAUACAGAUAAUUGUAUUUGUGGGGUAUAGAGAUGAGGUAAUCAUUCAAAAAUACUUGUAAAGGAGAGCCACAGUCGGUGCAAUGUGUGCAACAAAACAUUUUGCUCAAAACAUUGUUUUACCCUUUUUGUGUGUGCUUUACUGUUUUAUACUUGGGAUAUCGCUUCUCACCAAGAAAAGUUCUUUUUUUUUGAAUCCCCAGAAGACGUCUUUAAAGGAUUGAGUAACCAGUACCAUAUUUUUUAAAUCCAAUGAACGCAGGAAGGAAUAUAACAUUUCACAUGGUUGAAAAAAAAUAGAUAUGCUAGUUUUCUAUGUAGGCUAGUCAUUUACAGUAGAUAACUGUGAAUCUGUCACAGCAGUCAGCAUUGCCUAUUUGGCAAAGACCAUUACCAAACAUGCCAUAAAAUAGUUAUUAACAGUGCUCAAACACCUAAACAAGGACAUUGACAAAACAGGGCACAAAAGUAUAUUUAUUGUAAAAAAUACAUAUAAAACCAACUUUGAGACAUACAAAAGAUUGGAGCUUAGAAACAGUAAAAUGAACAGACAAAGACCAAGCCAGUUUGAAUUGCAAUACAUAUUUACACUUUAAUAAAUAAAUGUAAUUGUUCUAUUAUACCAAAAAGAAGGCAAAUUGUCCAUAUCUUGGGAUGCAGAUAUCACUGUGGUGACCUUAAACAUUCUCAUUGAAUAUAUCAGCAUAACCGUCACAAAGCUCAGGGUCUAGGAGGCACAGAACCCUGUGAUUAAACGCCAAGAAUGCAAUACAUAGAAAAUAUCAUCCUUGGAGAAUAGCUAUGCAGCCAAGUAAUGGCAUUUGUAAAAAUUGAGGUAUUGCACCACGCAGAUAAAAAGGGAGAGUAGUAAAGUAACAUUUGGGGCUUCAGAUUUUUA
rnacentral:lncRNA from 1 species